AACGAACGCUGGCGGCAUGCCUAACACAUGCAAGUCGAACGAGAACUUCGGGUCUAGUGGCGUACGGGUGCGUAACGCGUGGGAACAUGCCCUUAGGCUCGGCAUCACUCCCCGAAAGGCGUGCUAAUACCGGUUUAUGUCUUCGGACGAAAGAUUUAUCGCCUUUGGAUGGGCCCGCGUUGGCUUUGCUAGUUGGUAGGGUAAACUACUACCAAGGCGAGGAUCCAUAGCUGGUCUGAGAGGAUGACCAGUCACACUGGGACUGGGACACGGCCCAGACGGCUGCGGGAGGCAGCGAUGGGGGAUAUUGGACAGUGGGCGAGAGCCUGAUCCAGCGAGGCCGCGUGGAUGAUGAAGGCCUUAGAGUUGUAAAGCGCUAGGACCCGGGAGGAUAAUGACAGUACCGGGAGAAUAAGCUCCGGCUAACUCCGUG
rnacentral:rRNA from 1 species